rnacentral:rRNA from 1 species
CAGUCGCCGCGGGAAUACGGAGGGUGCAAGCGUUAAUCGGAAUUACUGGGCGUAAAGCGCACGCAGGCGGUCUGUCAAGUCGGAUGUGAAAUCCCCGGGCUCAACCUGGGAACUGCAUUCGAAACUGGCAGGCUAGAGUCUUGUAGAGGGGGGUAGAAUUCCAGGUGUAGCGGUGAAAUGCGUAGAGAUCUGGAGGAAUACCGGUGGCGAAGGCGGCCCCCUGGACAAAGACUGACGCUCAGGUGCGAAAGCGUGGGGAGCAAACAGGAUUAGAUACCCCUGUAGUCCCUGUCUCUUAUCC